GGACCCGCACAAGUAGUGGAGCAUGUGGUUUAAUUCGAAGAUACGCGCAGAACCUUACCAACACUUGACAUGUUCGUCGCGACUUUAAGAGAUUAAAGUUUUCGGUUCGGCCGGACGAAACACAGGUGCUGCAUGGCUGUCGUCAGCUCGUGUCGUGAGAUGUUGGUUAAGUCCCGCAACGAGCGCAACCCUCACUUUUUAGUUGCCAUCAUUAAGUUGGGCACUCUGAAAGAACUGCCAGUGAUAAGCUGGAGGAAGGUGGGGAUGACGUCAAGUCCUCAUGGCCCUUACGUGUUGGGCUACACACGUGCUACAAUGGUGGGUACAAGAGGGGAAGCCACCCCCGCAGGGGGGGAAG
rnacentral:rRNA from 1 species